rnacentral:lncRNA from 1 species
CACCGCCUCAGCAACCAACCUCCAGGGAGGGGAAAGGGGGCAGAAGUUUGAGUUAAUAACUAAUAGCUAAAGAUGUAAACAAUAAGCCUCCAUAAAACCCCAAAAGGACUGGACUGGUUUCUGAGAGCUUCCAGGUUGUUGAGCACGUGGAGGUUCUGGGAGGGUCCACACCCAGAGAAGGCAUGGAAGCUGACCCCUUCCCCAUACCUUGCUCUUUGCAUCUCUUCCAUUUGGCUGUUCCCGAGUUGUAUACUUUGUAAUAAGUGGGAUUUCCACCCAACAACAAUUCAGCCACACUGCUUCACACAUCUAGAAUCCAUCCAAAAUUGUAAAGGCUUUGUGGCACUACAGUGAAACAGGCAAGAACAUCUUCCAAACAUCCAGCACAAGAGCACACAGGAGGCCGGCAUAAUCACGAAUUGCAGCUGUCUGAAGGGCAGUCACAUAAAAGAGGAGAAGCUUCACCUUUGCUUCACAAGGCACAUCUUGAACCAGGGAUGGAAAUUACAGAGAGGCCAAAACCAGCUCGGUGUGAGCAGGACUGGUAACAGACUGGCCAAGCAACAGAAGGGGCUGCCCUGUGAAGAAGCAAGCUCUCUGUCAAUGGGAGGUGCAAGCUGAGCCUGCACUACCUUUUGUCACGGUUGCUAUGGAAAAGAUUAAGAGCCCGGAUAGCCCUUCCUCCUCUGGGGGCCUGGGCAUCAGCAAGUCGGAUGGCAGUGGAAGGUGGAGAAAUGGAAUCCUGCUGGGGGCUCAGGAGGCCUGCCCCCUGAUGCUGCCGUGCACUGCAGAUGUCCUUGAUGAAGAGAAUGAAUGGAAGUUUAAAUGAUGAAACUCUGGGGAUCAGCGUAAAGUAAACCAACAUACUGCAUGUAAAUUCCUCAUUCUUACUGCUGUGAGAACAAUUGUUAGGAGCCAAAAACUUCAGAGCUUUCAAAGAACUGUAAUGAGAUAGCACAAUGCAGGCAAAAAGCCAGUGUUAACGGAGCAAGAAACUUCCCAGUUCUGACAUUCACAGCAUGACCUAGAGCAUGCGGAUUCCCCUCUCUGAGUCACUGGUUUCUCACCUGCAAAAGAAAGCGGGGACAGGGAAGGAGGAAGAAGCUUCGAGAGGCUGGAACAGUUGAGGGAGCGCUGACACGGUAAAGGCCACUUUGCUCAUCAUCACCAGGCGUGCUGCCGAAAAUUUCCACUCUGUUUACUCCCAAGACCUUACUCCUACUAUGUGGAGACACAUUUGAAUAAAAAAUUGGCCUCUUUUCAAAGUCAAAAUUCUGAGCCAG